rnacentral:rRNA from 1 species
GCGUUGCCUAUUUUGUUGGUUUAUGGCGUCGCCGUAAUGAUUAAUAGGGACAGUUGGGGGCAUUAGUAUUCGAUUGUCAGAGGUGAAAUUCUUGGAUUUAUCGAAGACUAACUACUGCGAAAGCAUUUGCCAAGGAUGUUUUCAUUAAUCAAGAACGAAAGUUAGGGGAUCGAAGACGAUUAGAUACCGUCGUAGUCUUAACCAUAAACUAUGCCGACUAGGGAUCGGGCGCGGUUUCAAACGACUCGCUCGGCACCUUAAGAGAAAUCAAAGUUUUUGGGUUCUGGGGGGAGUAUGGUCGCAAGGCUGAAACUUAAAGGAAUUGACGGAAGGGCACCACCAGAUGUGGAGCCUGCGGCUUAAUUUGACUCAACACGGGGAAACUCACCAGGUCCAGACACAUUAAGGAUUGACAGAUUGAGAGCUCUUUCUUGAUUAUGUGGGUGGUGGUGCAUGGCCGUUCUUAGUUGGUGGAGUGAUUUGUCUGCUUAAUUGCGAUAACGAACGAGACCUUAACCUGCUAAAUAGCCAGGCGAGCUUUUGCUCGUCGCCGGCUUCUUAGAGGGACUAUCGGCUCAAGCCGAUGGAAGUUUGAGGCAAUAACAGGUCUGUGAUGCCCUUAGAUGUUCUGGGCCGCACGCGCGCUACACUGACAGAGCCAACGAGUAUAAACCUUGACCGAGAGGUCUGGGUAAUCUUGUUAAACUCUUGUCCGUGCUUGGGAUAGCGCAUUUGCAAUAAUCCCCCNGG